AUUGAACGCUAGCGGGAUGCUUUACACAUGCAAGUCGAACGAGUGGCGGACGGGUGAGUAAUGUAUGGGGACUGCCCGAUAGAGGGGGAUAACUACUGGAAACGGUAGCUAAUACCGCAUACUAUCGGAUAACCCAUAUGGGAUUAGCUAGUGGGUGGGGUAAUGGCUCACCUAGGCGACGAUCCCUAGCUGGUCUGAGAGGAUGACCAGCAACACUGGGACUGAGACACGGCCCAGACUCCUACGGAGGCAGCAGUGGGGAAUAUUGCACAAUGGGCGCAAGCCUGAUGCAGCCAUGCCGCGUGUAUGAAGAAGGCCCUAGGGUUGUAAAGUACUUUCAGUCGGGAGGCGUUACCGACAGAAGAAGCACCGGCUAACUCCGUGCCAGCCGCCGCGGUAAUUC
rnacentral:rRNA from 1 species